rnacentral:rRNA from 1 species
AGUGAACGCUGGCGGCAUGCCUUACACAUGCAAGUCGAACGGUAGCGCGGGGCAACCUGGCGACGAGUGGCGAACGGGUGAGUAAAGCAUCGGAACGUGCCCUGGAAUGGGGGAUAACGUAGCGAAAGUUACGCUAAUACCGCAUAUUCUGUGAGCAGGAAAGCAGGGGAUCGCAAGACCUUGCGUUCUGGGAGCGGCCGAUGUCGGAUUAGCUAGUUGGUGGGGUAAAAGCCUACCAAGGCGACGAUCCGUAGCGGGUCUGAGAGGAUGAUCCGCCACACUGGGACUGAGACACGGCCCAGACUCCUACGGGAGGCAGCAGUGGGGAAUUUUGGACAAUGGGCGGAAGCCUGAUCCAGCCAUGCCGCGUGAGUGAAGAAGGCCUUCGG